rnacentral:lncRNA from 1 species
CGUUCCGUAAUUUAUAUAGUUCGUUUGAUUAUAUUCUUAAUCUAUUUAUGUGUUCCAGUCUAGGAGGAUUAUUCAUCUUUAACGUUAAAACAUCGUACAGUCGCUACCUUUCCCUCUCUCACAGGUAUCCGUUACAUGAAAACUGCAAGGUCAUAACGAUCACGAGGAACAUUUCGUCGAGACGUCAUCUUAGACACAAUUCGUGGCUAACCACAGAGUGAGUAAAUUCUACAACAUUGUAUUUGAACACUUCAAAUUGCUCUCUACAUAUUUGAACCUUUUCU